AAAAAACAACCCACCCAAACAAACAGAAAACCCCCCAACAACAAUAGGCUAGACCAAACCAAGAUUUCCAAUUUACUGUAAUUAGCAACUCCUGUGGUCCUGUGACAUAGAGAUGCCAGGCUGCUUUCUGUAAUGAACAUAGAUUCUUCGAAGAGCCUUCACACCGCAACCACUGAAACAUCAAGAAUCCGAGAUGCUGAUUCAUUUAAAGCUGGAGGACAAACAGCUGACGAGGCGUCUGCAACACCCCUGAAAAGGAGUACAGGAAAUAGUGGGGACUGAGCAAUCCGGGACUGAACUUCAUCCUCCAAGAUGACAACGCUCUCCUCCACAGAGUGGGCUUUAUCAGAGGCUACCUCGAGAAUUUGUGAGUCAAGAGGAUAGAAAGGCCUCUCUACAGUCAUGACCUCAACUUCAUUGAACAAUUGUGGGAUCAGCUUAGGUGUGCUGUUCAUGCCAGACUGACCAACAUGACCACAUUGGCUGACUUGCACCAAAUGCUGGUUGAAGAAUGGGAUGCCUUCCCACAGCAAUGUGUAACCAAGCUGGUGACCAGCAUGAGAAGGAGGUGCCAGGCUGUGUAUUGUUCUUUCACUACCGAGGCCCCAGUGAAUAAACUGGUUUCUUCAGACUUAAACCAUUAAUAUCAAUAAAUGACACUAAAAAAGAAUCAAUUGCAGAAUAAGCUGUUUGGCAUUGGGAGAGAAGAUUUGGCAGGUUUUUCAUGGGUGCAAUGGGGAAAUGAGCAGGCUUUUUCAACAGUACAAGAUUUAUUGUUACAACAAGGAAUGAUCAACCAAACACAAAUUUUCAAAGUUUUUAAUGCCCAUAUUAUUUGUUAUGAAGAACCAUGUCAUACUCAUAUAACACUGAGAGAGAAAGAAAAUAUAGUGGACCUCUAUGACACAGGUAAACAAGUUAUAUCAGGGUUUGGAUUUGCAUACUUUUCAAAAUCAUCAUUUUUAGAUUAGGUUUGUUAACUGUGAGCUAAAUGGGGGGAAUCAACAAAGUUUUCUCAUUUCUCUUUCCUAGCUCCCUUCAUAUCAUACAGACAAGAGUGUGUUCGUUUGUUUUAUUGCAUUAGAGCAUUAUGUAAAUAUGUAUAUUGCCAGUCUCUUGAGGGAGGCUGCACUGAUGGGGCUGAAUAGAGCAUCCGGAGAGGGCAAUUUAACAGGCAGCGAUGAAUGCCCUGUAACAUAUGUCAUCUUGUCACACACACAAGUUGACGUCAACAUCAUGAUGCACAAGAGCGGGUAGGCCCAUCUGCGGCAGGGGUAGACCCGGGCAUCCGGAGCGCUUCGUCUCUUUCAUUUACCACGGCUGGGCGCUGAGUACGAACGCAGGGUUUGUGAAUGGCCUGUUGUUAAUGAGGCCUCAUUCGGUGCAAGGAGACACCCAGGGCUACCGCUUAGUGGCAUGCCCUCGGCCGACAUGAAUAACAAAAGCAGAGUGGGAUCAUUAGGCCCCCGGAUGCCCGAGGGGUCCGGCACUUUAAUCACGUUUGCGUAAUGAAUGCAGCUGCUUUGAAUCACUGCUUAUUCAUAAUGUCCACAGAUGCGGUUGUAAUGCAGCGUUAAUGUUGCUGCUGAUCUGCCAGAAGUCGUGGGUCUGUGUGUUCACAGACAGGGGCCACUCUGUUGGUUGGAUAGUGUAACAAUGGUAUGACAAGCCUAGGGUCACGUUAGAUUGAUCAACACCCAGAGAUUUCUUCCUUUGCCCUCAUGAGUAUGGACAAUGCAAAUUCAAAUGUUGGCAUAUGGCUUAGGGUCACAGAAUGAGGGUUACUUCACAUAUUAUGCAAUAAGAUGGCUUCUACAUUUGCGUUUUCUUGUAUUUUCAAUGGGCAUAAUCUCAGAAGAAUCCCUUUCUCCAGUUUUCACAUAGUUUCCAAGUCUCUGACUUUCUGCUGAGAGUGCAAAGUCUGUUUGAAGUGAUCCUGCAACUUGAAAGUAUGAUGAAUUGUGCCAGACUCCAACAGUUAAUGAUCAAACAGUUUGUUUUUCCAUUCACUAAAGAAAUGAAUGGCACAUCACAGGCUCCUCAAUAUUUAUCUGACCUGCUGAAACCACAUACAUCUUCUCGGGCUUUAAGGUCAUUAGAUCAGAGACUGCUGGUGGUACCACGCACUCGUUUUAAAGCUCGUGGUGAUCGGGCCUUUCAGACUGUGGCACCACGGUUGUGGAAUUCUGUCCCACUGUGUCUUCGCUGCACGGACUCCAUUGAUUCUUUUAAGAAACGGCUGAAGACAUUUUUAUUUAGAAAAGCAUUUGAUUAAUUUCUUCUUAUGCUGUUUUUAUAGUUUUAUUGUUUUACAUUGUUUUAUUUAAUGUUAUAUUUUUU